CUAAGGUGGGAGAUAACCCCGGGAAACUGGGGAUAAUACCCCAUAGUCUAUGGAAGCUGGAAUGCUCUAUAGUUGAAAGAUUUAUCGCCUUAGGAUGGGUCUGCGGCCGAUUAGGUAGUUGUUGGGGUAACGGCCCAACAAGCCUUUGAUCGGUACGGGUUGUGGGAGCAAGAGCCCGGAGAUGGAUUCUGAGACACGAAUCCAGGCCCUACGGGGCGCAGCAGGCGCGAAAACUUUACAAUGCGGGAAACCGUGAUAAGGGAACUCCGAGUGCCCGUAAACGCGGGCUGUCCAUCUGCUUAAAAAACAGGUGAAGAAAGGGCCGGGCAAGACCGGUGCCAGCCGCCGCGGUAAUACCGGCGGCUCGAGUGGUGGCCACUAUUACUGGGCUUAAAGCGUCCGUAGCUUGGUUGUUAAGUCUCUUGGGAAAUCUGUCGGCUUAACCGACAGGCGUUUAAGGGAUACUGGCAAUCUAGGGACCGGGAGAGGUGAGAGGUACUUCAGGGGUAGGAGUGAAAUCCUGUAAUCCUUGGGGGACCACCUGUGGCGUAGGCGUCUCACCAGAACGGCUCCGACAGUGAGGGACGAAAGCUGGGGGAGCAAACCGGAUUAGAUACCCGGGUAGUCCCAGCCGUAAACGAUGCGCGUUAGGUGUAUCGGUGACCACGAGUCACCGAGGUGCCGAAGGGAAACCGUGAAACGUGCCGCCUGGGAAGUACGGUCGCAAGGCUGAAACUUAAAGGAAUUGGCGGGGGAGCACCACAACAGGUGGAGCCUGCGGUUUAAUCGGACUCAACGCCGGAAACCUCACCGGAUAAGACAGCGGGAUGAUAGCCAGGCUGAAGACUUUGCUUGACUAGCUGAGAGGAGGUGCAUGG
rnacentral:rRNA from 1 species